rnacentral:misc_RNA from 1 species
AACGCACGAGACCUGCGGACCUGCGGAAGGAUCAUUAAAGGUUUAGGGUACCCGGUGCCCAAACUUCAACCCUGAUGUCUUCUACAACUUUGUUUCUUUGCCGGUUUCGGCCGGCAGAAGAUUUCUCAAACUCAACUGUGAAAAUAUGUCAUCUGAAUUUGAAAUGCAAAAUCAAUCAAAACUUUUAGCAAUGGAUCUCU